UGUCUCUUGGUCUCGCUGUGGCACUUGACAUGUCUGUUCAACAUCCGCUGGUGGUGGAAAGUUUUCUGGCAAACCUGCAAGUAGCAACAAUACCGGCCAGGGCCAAGUCAGCGCCACGUUUACACUCAACCAUCUCAGGAUACAGUUCUGAAGCUUCUACCACUACUGCUGUUGGCGUACCUGGCACACAAACAUCCCUGUUGUCCCCGACGACGAACUCUGACUUGGACCGGUUGAUCUGGUUACCAUAGAGACCGCAUCCUGCAGCACAGGGGUUGUCGUCAAGGCGAGUGGCAUCGCAGAGAUCGGAUGUACGUCGGGAGGCCCUGCGACCUCCUUCUCACCUCCGACUUCUCUGGCGGCGUCGCCGGGCUGCGUGGUCGGCCCAGCAUCGUGCUGGACGGCAGCUCGGCGCGGGUUUGCACGUCAGAGAGCGACUGCUUGGUGAGGCAGAGCGGUGACAUCUCGGCAGGGCUCGCCUCUUCCUCCAUCAUCAGGACCGACGAAGGGAAGAUGGAGACUGGAGGGACAAAGAGGUCAGGUAGCCCAGAGGCAGGUGCGGUCCAGCUCGGCGAGGACAACGAAUCAGUUGACUCUGCAGGGCCCCAAUCAGAUAAAACACAAAUGUGAAUGCAAAAGAAGCCCCGCAGUGAGCUAUAAAGAUGAAAAGGCAGAUGGAGCCAAGUGUAGAGCAGCAGAGCUAACGGUCCGCUCGGCUCUGCUCUGCGUGCGGCUCGUCGGCCACACCUUCCACGCUCAGGCACGUUCAAGUACCAAAACGUUUGAAAAAUUCCAGACUGUCAAAGUCUUCAUCGUGACACGCAAAAGUUUCCAGAAGGUUUGAUCGAUCUGAUGGAGUGUGAGACGAACGGACGUGCCGACGGAUCGUUUCAUUUCAACUGGUGAAAGCUUUUUGGUUUACAGGUUUGAUUGUGUCGGUGAAACAUCAGAUUAUGUUGAACAUAAAGCGCUAUUUAAAGGGGUACAUUUGAAUUCAAGCAUCUUCCCAACCGGUUAAAUUUAGACAUCUGAGUGCAGCUCAAAAAUCAUAAUGAAAAACAACCGCCUGACUGAAGAAUAGACAAAAUAACACCAACAUUUUACACAUGUUUGGUCAUCACCAACAAAAUAAAAAGUACUGGCUUACCGCAUUAACCUCCUUUAUUGUUUUUAGCUUAAGCCCUUAACAGCACUUAUUGUAUGUCAGCGCCGUGUUUUAUCAUGCUGGUGACGCGGCCUGUGGUGACCUUUGCACGAGCUUUAUGAACAAACGAGUGGAAGGCGUGAGGCCUGAGCACAGCUACAGUCAUCGCUUAUGGACACACUGUGUGCGCUGCUUAAUCCUGUCAUG